UGGGGAAUAUUGCACAAUGGGCGCAAGCCUGAUGCAGCCAUGCCGCGUGUGUGAAGAAGGCCUCGGGUUGUAAAGCACUUUCAGCGAGGAGGAAGGUGGUGAACUUAAUACGUUCAUCAAUUGACGUUACUCGCAGAAGAAGCACCGGCUAACUCCGUGCCAGCAGCCGCGGUAAUACGGAGGGUGCAAGCGUUAAUCGGAAUUACUGGGCGUAAAGCGCACGCAGGCGGUUUGUUAAGUCAGAUGUGAAAUCCCCGGGCUCAACCUGGGAACUGCAUUUGAAACUGGCAAGCUAGAGUCUCGUAGAGGGGGGUAGAAUUCCAGGUGUAGCGGUGAAAUGCGUAGAGAUCUGGAGGAAUACCGGUGGCGAAGGCGGCCCCCUGGACGAAGACUGACGCUCAGGUGCGAAAGCGUGGGGGCAGCAAACAGGAUUAGAUACCCUGGUAGUCCACGCUGUAAACGAUGUCGAUUUUGGAGGUUGUGCCCUUGAGGCGUGGCUUCCGGAGCUAACGCGUUAAAUCGACCGCCUGGGGAGUACGGCC
rnacentral:rRNA from 1 species